rnacentral:rRNA from 1 species
CACGUAGGGCGCGAGCGUUGUCCGGAAUUAUUGGGCGUAAAGAGCUCGUAGGCGGCCUGUUGCGUCCGCUGUGAAAGCCCGGGGCUUAACCCCGGGUCUGCAGUGGAUACGGGCAGGCUAGAGGUAGGUAGGGGAGAAUGGAAUUCCCGGUGUACCGGUGAAAUGCGCAGAUAUCGGGAGGAACACCGGUGGCGAAGGCGGUUCUCUGGGCCUUACCUGACGCUGAGGAGCGAAAGCGUGGGGAGCGAACAGG